CCAAUAGCGUAUAUUAAAGUUGUUGCAGUUAAAAAGCUCGUAGUUGAAUUUCGGGAUCAAUUUAUUGGUCGUGCUAUUGUACGUACUGGUAUUAUUGAUUCCUACCUUCUGACGAACCAUGAUGUCAUUAAUUUGGUGUCAUGGGGAAUCAGGACUGUUACUUUGAAAAAAUUAGAGUGUUUAAAGCAGGCUCACGCUUGAAUACAUUAGCAUGGAAUAA
rnacentral:rRNA from 1 species